GCGUAAAGCGAGCGUAGGUGGCUUGAUAAGUCAGAUGUGAAAUCCCCGGGCUUAACCUGGGAACUGCAUCUGAAACUGUUAGGCUAGAGUAGGUGAGAGGGAAGUAGAAUUUCAGGUGUAGCGGUGAAAUGCGUAGAGAUCUGAAGGAAUACCGAUGGCGAAGGCAGCUUCCUGGCAUCAUACUGACACUGAGGCUCGAAAGCGUGGGUAGCAAACAGGAUUAGAUACCCUGGUAGUCCACGCCGUAAACGAUGUCUACUAGUCGUUGGGUCCCUUGAGGACUUAGUGACACAGCUAACGCAAUAAGUAGACCGCCUGGGGAGUACGGCCGCAAGGUUAAAACUCAAAUGAAUUGACGGGGGCCCGCACAAGCGGUGGAGCGUGUGGUUUAAUUCGAUGCAACGCGAAGAACCUUACCUGGUCUUGACAUAUCUAGAAUCCUGCAGAGAUGCGGGAGUGCCUUCGGGAAUUAGAAUACAGGUGCUGCAUGGCUGUCGUCAGCUCGUGUCGUGAGAUGUUGGGUUAAGUCCCGCAACGAGCGCAACCCUUGUCCUUAGUUACCAGCGGGUUAAGCCGGGAACUCUAAGGAUACUGCCAGUGACAAACUGGAGGAAGGCGGGGACGACGUCAAGUCAUCAUGGCCCUUACGACCAGGGCUACACACGUGCUACAAUGGUAGGUACAGAGGGCAGCUACACAGCGAUGUGAUGCGAAUCUCAAAAAGCCUAUCGU
rnacentral:rRNA from 1 species